UGCUGCUGUUACAGAGUGUGACAGAGG
rnacentral:piRNA from 1 species